rnacentral:rRNA from 1 species
GAUGAACGCUGGCGGCGUGCUUAACACAUGCAAGUCGAACGAGAAAUGGAGACGGAAACCUUCGGGCGGAAGGCUUCAUUUCGAGUGGCGGACGGGUGAGUAACGCGUGGGUAACCUGCCUCAUACAGGGGGAUAACAGUUGGAAACGACUGUUAAUACCGCAUAAGACCACAGCACCGCAUGGUGCGGGGGUAAAAACUCCGGUGGUAUGAGAGGGACCCGCGUUCGAUUAGCCGGUUGGCGGGGUAACGGCCCACCACAGUGACGAUCGAUAGCCGAUCUGAGAGGAUGACCGGCCACAUUGGGGCUGAGACACGGCCCAGACUCCUACGGGAGGCAGCAGUGGGGGAUAUUGCACAAUGGGGGAAACCCUGAUGCAGCGACGCCGCGUGAGUGAAGAAAUACUUCAGUAUGUAAAGCUCUAUCAGCAGGAAAGAUAAUGACGGUACCUGAGUAAGAAGCCACGGCUAACUACGUG